ensembl:snRNA U6 U6 spliceosomal RNA
AUCCUCACUUCAGUGGUACCUAUACUGAAAAUAUAAUGAUACAGAGAAGAUUAGCAUGCCCCCUGCACAAGGAUGGCAUAUGAAUUUGUGUAGUUCAUAUUUUU